AUCGUACUCCCUCCAUCCCAAAUCUUCUGUCUUAAAAUUGUCUAAAUACAGAUGUAACAAGUCACAUUUUAAUAUUAGAUACAUUCGUAUCUAAACUAAUGUAAGACAAAAAAUUUGGAACGAAGGGAGUACAAU
rfam:Triticum urartu cultivar G1812 contig362609, whole genome shotgun sequence.